CCUACGGGCGGCAGCAGUGAGGAAUAUUGGUCAAUGGACGAAAGUCUGAACCAGCCAAGUCGCGUGAAGGAUGACUGCCCUAUGGGUUGUAAACUUCUUUUAUAAAGGAAUAAAGUGAGGCACGUGUGCCUUUUUGUAUGUACUUUAUGAAUAAGGAUCGGCUAACUCCGUGCCAGCAGCCGCGGUAAUACGGAGGAUCCAAGCGUUAUCCGGAUUUAUUGGGUUUAAAGGGAGCGUAGAUGGGUUGUUAAGUCAGUUGUGAAAGUUUGCGGCUCAACCGUAAAAUUGCAUUUGAUACUGGGAGUCUUGAGUACAGUUGAGGUAGGCGGAAUUCGUGGUGUAGCGGUGAAAUGCUUAGAUAUCACGAAGAACUCCGAUUGCGAAGGCAGCUUACUAAACUGCAACUGACAUUGAUGCUCGAAAGUGUGGGUAUCAAACAGGAUUAGAUACCCGUGUAGUC
rnacentral:rRNA from 1 species